GACGAACGCUGGCGGCGUGCUUAACACAUGCAAGUCGAGCGGUAACGCCGUUCGUGGUACCCGAGCGGCGAACGGGUGAGUAACACGUGGGUUAUCUUCCCUGCACUUCGGGAUAAGCCUGGGCAACUGGGUCUAAUACCGGAUAUGACCUCCUAUCGCAUGGUGUGUGUUGGAAAGAUUUAUCGGUGCAGGAUGGGCUCGCGGCCUAUUAGCUUGGUGGUGGGGUAUUGGUCUACCAAGGCGAUGACGGGUAGCCGACCUGAGAGGGUGACCGGCCACGCUGGGACUGAGACACGGCACAGACUACUACGGGAGGCAGCAGUGGGGAAUAGUGCACAAUGGGAGAGAGCCUGAUGCAGCGAAGCCGCGUGAGGGAUGACAGCAUUCGGGUUGUAAACCUAUUUCAGCAGGGACGAAGCGAAAGUGACGGUACCUGCAGAAGAAGCACCGGCUAACUACGUG
rnacentral:rRNA from 1 species